GGACUGGGAGGAUUGCCCCUCUAUCUGAUCUCUCUGAUCUCUCGUCAUCCCCAAAGAAUGACAAGGGACGUCGAGAUCAGGGUGUUCCAGACACUCGGGGCAGCAUGGAAGGAACUCAAGGUGAAGCUGGGAAAAGGAAACACAAAUAUGCAAAGGAGACUUUCAUUACAUCAACAGAAUGGUGUUGGAUGCUUGAGAUCCCAAGGGCUGCCAGAGCUCCCAGUACCAGAAAGCAAAACUCUUUUCCUCUUUUCCAAGGGUUGAAAAGGCAGUGUACAAAGUAGAAGGAGACAAUCAGGUGGAUGAAGCAGCACUUAAUCGCCACACGGAGACUCAGAAACUCAGGGGACUGAUUCUGGAAAAGGGACGAGAAGAAAAGGGAGUACUCAGAUGGUCAGUGACCAUCAGACACCCAUCUCACUUCCAAUGCCACCCGUAAUCUAGUAUCGUCAUUUUCUUUACUAGAAUUUCUAUCUGAAGGCUUUAUUCCAUUUUCCCUUAAGUUGAUUUCUCUGUUUCCCGGGGGACCGGGGUAGGGGGUGGGGUGGCAAGGAAGGUAGGUGUCACUACUGUAGAAC
ensembl:lncRNA